UGACACUGGUGCGCGAGAUGAGUAUUCUAAGGCGCUUGAGAGAACUCAGGAGAAGGAACUCGGCAAAUUGACACCGUAACUUCGGAAGAAGGUGUGCCCUAGUAGUGUGAAGUGAACAACGGAGCAUGAAUGGGUUGCAAAAAAUCGGUGGCUGCGACUGUUUAUUAAAAACACAGCACUCUGCAAACACGAAAGUGGACGUAUAGGGUGUGACGCCUGCCCGGUGCUGGAAGAUUAAAUGAUGGGGUGCAAGCUCUUGAUUGAAGUCCCAGUAAACGGCGGCCGUAACAAUAACGGUCCUAAGGUAGCGAAAUUCCUUGUCGGGUAAGUUCCGACCUGCACGAAUGGCGUAACGAUGGCCACACUGUCUCCUCCUGAGACUCAGCGAAGUUGAAAUGUUUGUGAUGAUGCAAUCUCCCCGCGGAAAGACGGAAAGACCCCAUGAACCUUUACUGUAGCUUUGUAUUGGACUUUGAACAGAUCUGUGUAGGAUAGGUGGGAGGCUUUGAAGCAGGGUCGCUAGAUCUUGUGGAGCCAACGUUGAAAUACCACCCUGGUGUGUUUGAGGUUCUAACCUAGGUCCAUUAUCUGGAUCGGGGACAGUGCAUGGUAGGCAGUUUGACUGGGGCGGUCUCCUCCCAAAGCGUAACGGAGGAGUUCGAAGGUACGCUAGUUACGGUCGGACAUCGUGACGAUAGUGCAAUGGCAUAAGCGUGCUUAACUGCGAGACUGACAAGUCGAGCAGAUGCGAAAGCAGGACAUAGUGAUCCGGUGGUUCUGUAUGGAAGGGCCAUCGCUCAACGGAUAAAAGGUACUCUGGGGAUAACAGGCUGAUACCGCCCAAGAGUUCAUAUCGACGGCGGUGUUUGGCACCUCGAUGUCGGCUCAUCUCAUCCUGGGGCUGUAGCCGGUCCCAAGGGUAUGGCUGUUCGCCAUUUAAAGAGGUACGUGAGCUGGGUUUAAAACGUCGUGAGACAGUUUGGUCCCUAUCUUCCGUGGGCGCUGCAGAUUUGAGGAAGCCUGCUCCUAGUACGAGAGGACCGGAGUGGACACACCUCUGGUGUAUCGGUUGUCACGCCAGUGGCAUUGCCGAGUAGCUAAGUGUGGAAGAGAUAACCGCUGAAAGCAUCUAAGCGGGAAACUCGUUUCAAGAUGAGAUCUGCCGGGGCCUUGAGCCCCCUGAAGAGUCGUUCAAGACCAGGACGUUGAUAGGUCAGGUGUGGAAGCGCAGUAAUGCGUUAAGCUAACUGAUACUAAUUGCUCGUGCGGCUUGACCCU
rnacentral:rRNA from 1 species